ensembl:lncRNA
GUGUCUGUAAACACACACACACACACACACACACACACACAAACAAGUAAAAAUGUACAGCUUUUCAACAGUGUGUUCAAACACACACACACACACACACACACACACACAAACAAGUUAAAAUGUACAGCUUUUCAACAGUGUGUUCAAACACACACACACACACACACACACACAAAAACAAAUAAAUAUGUACAGCUUUUAAACAGUGUGUACACACACACACACACACACACACACACACACACAAUAAAAUAUACAAUAAAAAAGUAACUGACAACAAGACUAGGAAGUAGCCUAGUUUAACACAGGCUACAAUAAGACUGACACAUGGCCUACUAUACGUGGUUAAUCGGUGAUGGCCUAAGAUUUCAAUAAAAACAUUAUCUACACAUUCAUAAUCUGCACAUUAUCUAAUCCUCCCAUGCUACUGGUCAGUGUACAAUAUCCAGCCACAGAUUUUUAUAACACUAAAAAAAAAAUCACCUUUUGUUUGUUGUACUGAUUGGCGAUGAUUUAUUUUUUUUUUUUUAAUUGUGCACUUUUUUGUGAUUUUUCCCAUGUGUUUUUAUUUUAUGUAUGUUCUGAAUAAAUACUUACUAUACGAGUUAUCUCUCUUAAAUAAUAUAAUGUUUUUCAAGUGCACGCGGACACGCCCCCUUGUUUCCGUGGAAACGUGCGCACUGCGCAGUUUCACUUUCACUUAACAACGAAGAACGGUCGAGUCUUUGCAGCAGUAUCUUAUCCUGGCGAACGCAUUUAUGCAGUCAUGGACAGUACUCCGAGUCUUGGACCAUAAUCAUGUUUUGGAACUGGAUGGUCAGUUUUACCCACUGGAUGUUAAAAAGAUACAUCAGCCUAAGUUUGACGUGCCAGCUGAAGCAUUCCUUGAUGUGAGCAUGUUCUACAGUCAGAAAAAGAUCCGAAAUCUUCUUCAUAGCCACGGCUUUGAUGUGUCAGAGACCAGUUCAGGACAGCUGCACUUGCAGGGAACCUUUCUUAACCUAAAACGCAUCCAUCCCAAACUCAUGCAUCUCCUGGCCCAAGAAACCCACUUGCAAAGAAGCAAACCUUCGCAAUGCACUAAUGGCUUCUCGUCUGACUCUGUCUCCAGUGAUUUUGAAUCUAGAUCUCAUUCCACGUCAAGGCACAGUCCCAAUGGCCACUCAGUGUAUGCUGCAGGCAGAAACCCACAUUCUGGAAUAAACUCAAGAUCCCAAGAGUCUCCAAACGGGCAGGCACUCAUGCAGGCUGCCUCUCCACUGGAUGUUAGUUUAAGCACAGAGAGUUCCUUCAGCAUUCCCACCAGGAGCUAUGAGGAUUUCAGCGUAAGCGCUCGGCAGAAAAAUCCCUCGUCUCACAGGAAAACUGAGGAUUCCUUCCCUGUGGAUCCACUCGCAUUCAAAUACGUAAUGCACUUUAAGAAAGAUUUUAUCGAAAAAAUAGAAUCUGAUCACCAAACUCAUAUUAGCCAUGUAGACAAUUCAGGAGUUGUUAUGGUUAAACUUUCAGGAGUAUUCUGUGAGGAAGCAGGUAAAGAAUUGCGUGAAUUCAUGCAGAACAUCAGCUCAUCUUUACGCACGCAAGAAAUAGACCUGCAUAAACUUAACAGGAGUCAAAAAAAACACAUUACUGAGAAGGCUUUCUCAUUCCAAAAGAUCUACAAUGUUUUAAUUAGGGAGGAAAAUGAUAUUCUCAAAGUGGUGGGUUCCUCUAAAGACAGUUAUGAAGCGAUGGAAAGGCUUCUUGGACAGGAGGUUAAUAUUGCUUUGCCAAGACAUUCCGCAAGGAACUCUUUGCGACGGAGCAACUCUUUGCCAAGACAAAAAACAAGGUAUAGCGAGGAGAACCCAGACUUGGGAGGAAUUCCUGAUGCUGUGUACACUACUACUGUUAGUAGCUCCUCUGCCUCUCAUUCCCGGACUGACCCUCAGUUACAACCAGAAGAACAACAGGAAAGAGGUCGCAAGUCCUCUAAAUCCUCUGCACAAUGUGGCAGGGCACACAGCGCCUCUCGAUUACAACACAAAAAUGAAAGCAGAGUAAACCGAGAACCAUCAGCUCAUGAUAAGCAGGAUUUGACACCCCCUCAUGAAGUUCAGAUAUUUAAAAACAGGCCCGUUCCUAAAUUUAUGGCUGCUCUUACUCCUAAAAGAAAGAUCAAUUUCAAAAAAGAAGUUUAA